UACGAAGGGGGCUAGCGUUGUUCGGAUUUACUGGGCGUAAAGCGUGCGCAGGCGGCUUUGCGAGACAGAUGUGAAAUCCCCGGGCUCAACCUGGGAACUGCAUUUGUGACUGCAAGGCUAGAGUACGGUAGAGGGGGAUGGAAUUCCGCGUGUAGCAGUGAAAUGCGUAGAUAUGCGGAGGAACACCGAUGGCGAAGGCAAUCCCCUGGACCUGUACUGACGCUCAUGCACGAAAGCGUGGGGAGCAAACAGG
rnacentral:rRNA from 1 species